GUGACGGGACAAGGCGCUCGAUGUGGGGAGCGAGGGAGGCGGAGACCCGCAGGGGGAAGGCACCGAGGGCGAGAAGGGAGAGGGAGCGAGUGCUUCUGUCACAGCAGCUAGCGGGGGUUCCCACUAAGCCAGACAGCCAUUUUGGGCCCCAGAUUUUUAGAGGGGGGCGCGGGGUCCUCUCCUCCUCCUCCUCCAGCAGCUGCUUCUUCCGUUGUUGACACAACUAAAAGUCAACAACAUCAUCAUCCUUCCCGCCCCACUCCGCUGCUGUGCGCGUACCUUGGGAGCUGCGGAGGCUUCUCCCUCUGUCUCUAGCCUGUGGGGCAAGAGACUGUGUGGCAUCCGCUGCUGAGGGGGAGGAGGCAGAUAAGCGUGUGGAAAGUUCCUCCUUUGUUUUUGCUGAAGCUUCUGCUGCUGCGUUUCUUGUACGAAGCCCGCUGUUCAUACACAGAACAGGGGUUCUCAAACUUCAUUGCUGGCGAUCUACCAAAAGAUUAGACCAAAAAUUAGACAACUGCUAAAUAGAGUGCCUACGAAAAGAUCCUGGGCAUUGGAUGGAAAGACUUAAUUACCAACAAAGAUCCAAGAAAUGACCAUCCAGCAGCUUGCCUCCACUAGAAUCAAAAGUUUAUCUCUAGUAUCUGAUCUGGCAAUUAGACUGGAUAAAUGGAGUUCUACUGUAUUUGGGGCCUGUACUCUGGAUGCCAACAGAGAGAUAUUACCAUAUAAAGUCAUCAAGUGGAAGCCAACUGGUGUGAGGAAACAAAGGCACCCAAAAGAAACCUUAAGAACCCCCCUUUGUUGGGAGAGAUUGAUCUCAACACCAUACAACAGAUGGAAGCAACAGCAAAUUACAGAGAAGAAUGGAAGAUACUAAUGUUGGUGCACAUUACAGAAAUUGAUUCAGGAAGGAUGUGAAAACCCAAAUCAAAACAAACCCCACCUCUUGAUCAUUUUUGCUUGUCUCUUAUACUGAUUAAACAGCUUGAGCCAGAUU